CCUACGGGAGGCAGCAGUGGGGAAUAUUGGACAAUGGGGGGAACCCUGAUCCAGCCAUGCCGCGUGUGUGAAGAAGGCCCUCGGGUUGUAAAGCACUUUCAGUGAGGAAGAACGCCUGGUGGUUAAUACCCAUCAGGAAAGACAUCACUCACAGAAGAAGCACCGGCUAACUCCGUGCCAGCAGCCGCGGUAAUACGGAGGGUGCGAGCGGUAAUCGGAAUUACUGGGCGUAAAGCGCGCGUAGGUGGCUUGAUAAGCCGGUUGUGAAAGCCCCGGGCUCAACCUGGGAACGGCAUCCGGAACUGUCAAGCUAGAGUGCAGGAGAGGAAGGUAGAAUUCCCGGUGUAGCGGUGAAAUGCGUAGAGAUCGGGAGGAAUACCAGUGGCGAAGGCGGCCUUCUGGACUGACACUGACACUGAGGUGCGAAAGCGUGGGUAGCAAACAGGAUUAGAUACCAUGGUAGUC
rnacentral:rRNA from 1 species